GGACACGAAGCCGGAGGAUGCGCUGUUUAAGGACCUCGUCGAUUUCGCGAAAUCCAAGUCGUCGAACUCGAAACCCCCUAGUAACAACAGAUCAUAUUGAUUUGGUACGACGCUGAGAUUAACGUUAUAGUUAUUCAUGAGAUUGAUUGUCACCUAAUAAAAAGAUGUAUUUUUGUAGCCAUUGGGAUCAGAGGUGUUUAUAUGGAGACUGGAGAGGGAGAGAGUGAACUGUUGCUCAUUGCUUCUGUUCAUUGUUGUAUGUUUGCCUGAGAAGUGUUUCUUUGUAUCAUACAUUCACAGUCCCUCCAAUCUGAAUGUGUUGCUAAUCACAGUCGAUGAUGCUCACGAUGUGCAUGGUUUCUUAGACAGAC
rnacentral:lncRNA from 1 species